rnacentral:lncRNA from 1 species
UAGCAUAAAAAAUUAGAAAAAAUGAAAAAAAAAAUAACCGUUAUUCAAAAUGCGGCAAUACUAAGCCGACGUUUGAAUUGCGGCGACGUGCAACCAUAAGGGAAACAAAGAGUGGGGUGAGAAACAGUGAAGUGUAAUGUGAGAUAGAAAAUGAAGUAUGCUUAGAGAGGAAAAUGAAAUGCGUAAAGGGUGUAGGAUUUUUGUGUCUCAUGGUCAAAGAUUCCUCUAACAGGGUUAAAAAUGGAAAUUAAAUAAAAGUAAGAGGUGCACGAUGAUGUAUGUGAGGUGUAUGGAGAAUCUCUCAAAACCCAAAAACCACCUUUCUUCUACUCUUCUCUCACUCCCCACGUUAUAACCAAGACUCCUCCCUCCUUCAUGCUUUCCCUUUUCUUUUUAUUUCUUCUUCCUUCAACCCUUACGUUCCUUCCUCUUCUCUUUGGUUUUCCUUCUCAACUCCAACAUAAGACUCUUCUUUUUUCUCCUUACCUUUGCUAUAUGAUUUGUAGUGUGCUCAUCUCCUCCUUUCACUUCCAUAAUUCUUCCUUCAUGUUCUUCUUCCUCCAAUAACACCCAGUUUCUUCUUUCUUCACUACUUUAAUCAACCCCAUAGAUCCCAUCUCACAAAAAUAUCACUUUCACCCUUUGCAUACUCAUAACUCACUCUUUUCUCUCAACUAUGGGAGAGAACUCUCAAAACCCUCAUACCCACACUCUUGGUCAAAGAGUGUAGAUAAGCAUCCCACAAAAAUAUUAUAAUUCAUACAUGGUAAUAAGGAAACAAGAUGCACACAAUAUAACAUGAUUUUAAGUGUACCCACAAAACUUCUUCAUACACAUACAUCACCCCAAAGUGUCUAAAACAUGUAUACCCAUUUUAAGAACAACACUUUUUGAAAAACCAACAUGUAAAGUUCAAGGUAUACCCAUAACUACAAAAAAAAC